UACGAAGGGGGCUAGCGUUGCUCGGAAUCACUGGGCGUAAAGCGCACGUAGGCGGACUCUUAAGUCGGGGGUGAAAUCCUGGAGCUCAACUCCAGAACUGCCUUUGAUACUGAGGAUCUUGAGUUCGGGAGAGGUGAGUGGAACUGCGAGUGUAGAGGUGAAAUUCGUAGAUAUUCGCAAGAACACCAGUGGCGAAGGCGGCUCACUGGCCCGAUACUGACGCUGAGGCACGAAAGCGUGGGGAGCAACA
rnacentral:rRNA from 1 species